rnacentral:rRNA from 1 species
AACGCGAAGAACCUUACCAAGGCUUGACAUCCUGCCAAGCUUUCCGAAAGGAAAGUGUGCCUUCGGGCCGCAGUGACAGGUGAUGCAUGGCCGUCGUCAGCUCGUGUCGUGAGAUGUUUGGUUAAGUCCAUCAACGAGCGCAACCCUUAUAGUUAGUUGAAUUUUUCUAGCUAGACUGCCCCGGUAACGGGGAGGAAGGAGGGGAUGAUGUCAGGUCAUUAUUUCCCUUACGCCUUGGGCCACAAACACGCUACAAUGGCCGGUACAAAGGGCAGCUAAGUCGCGAGACGGAGCAAAUCCCAUCAAAGCCGGUCUCAGUUCGGAUAGUAGGCUGAAACUCGCCUGCUUGAAGCUGGAAUCGCUAGUAACGGUAGGUCAGCACACUACCGUGAAUACGUUCCCGGGCCUUGUA